UGAAAAUACUGCCUGCUAAGACAGUCUUAGGGGGAAAGGCAAUGCUAAGCUAAAUAGUGCUAAAUAAUGUCCACAUUGUUCAUUAAAAGGCAUAAUAGUCGUGAAGAUUAUUGGUCAAUUUAUCCAGAAAUUUGUAGGAACUGCUUAGUGUGUCGUUUUAGUUAUUUUAUUAAGAUAUAGAGGAUCUGAGGUGAGCAGGGAGUGACCGAUCCAUGAAAUUCCAGUUAUCGGUUACGGCAUUUGGGAAGCGGAGUAGGGAGAUGGCUUAGUGCGGACAGCCGGGCCUCUCGUCGGAGCCUAAUGUCUCAGCAGUCUGGAUAUCCCGUCAACCGGAGCGGGUCACACCCCCUCCGCUACCCUCAGUGUGGGUACACCUCACCCCGGAUAAUAUUAAUCCUCACUCGGAAUAACAAGAGGCUCGACGCUGCUUCCCGUACCGAAAGCUGAUCCCAGCAGAAGAAGUGAAAGAGUGGCUCCACAUCCUGCAUCUGGGAGACUCAUUUGUGUCUUUUAACAAUUAGCAAUGUGGCUAAUGCCCCUGCAUGCCUUGUGCAGCUCUUCCCCAACGGCAGAAAACACCUUGAGAUUUUACGGCAAAUUGCUCGGGACUGCAGCAUUCGCUCACCUCUGAGGGGGGGGGGACAGGUGAACGCACCGUGACAGGGAAUUUCCCCUUACAUCAGCGGCCAUGACUGCACCCUGGGUUGCCAGAUCAAUUCAGAGUUCUUCAGAUAAAAAUGUCAACACAUCUGUACCUCUGCCAUGUGUUAAUAGUGCACCAUAAAUCUCCAGCGCAAACUGGAGAAAGCCAGCGGAAAAGGGGGAACGUUAUCAAGGUCAUUAUUUUAAAGCUGAAGACAUCUUUCAACACAUCCAUGCAGCAGGACAUGAAGCAAAUGGCAUCAGGUAUGAACAUAUCAAUGGAGGCUGAUGGCAUACAAAAAAUUGUGGGAAUAAGAAAACAAUAAAUUUUACAAGAUUACAAUGCUGAAUUUCUCCAAAGAAGAGUACAACAAUGUACUCCCAGACUGCCCGUUACCCACUGCUCCCAUCUAAUCCCUGCUCCUCCCACACCCCAACCUCUACGAUUUCUAGAAUUACUG